rnacentral:lncRNA from 1 species
UUUGUCCUUGUCUCUGUAACUCGUCCCAUAAGCUUCCCUGCAAGGCCCUUGUUACUUUAACCCAGUGUAAAGGCUUCAGAGAAGACUUUUUUGGAGCUGAAGACCCCAAACCUGGACGUGCAAGACCACGCCCUCUUCCUGCACCCUUCAGAUCUGGAGGUGCACCAGGAGGUCUAGGUCCAGGAGGUGGAGGAGGUCCACCAGGAGGUCUUGGUCCAGGAGGUGGAGGUGGACCAGGAGCACGACCACCAGGAGGCGGUGGAGGGGGAGGUCCAGGAGCUCUACCACCAGGAGGCGGAGGAGGAGGAGGGGCUCCUCCACGCAUUGGAGGAGGUGGUGGCGGUGGGGCUCCUCCACGCAUUGGAGGUGGUGGUGGUGGUGGGGCUCCUCCAGGAGGAAGUGGUGGAGGCGGAGGUCCACCAGAUCUAAAUGGAGGUGGUGGUGGCGGCGGAGGUCCACUAGUUCCAAAUGGAGGUGGUGGUGGCGGCGGAGGUCCUCCAGAUCUAAAGGGAGGUGGUGGUGGUGGCGGAGGUCCAUUAGAUCCAAAUGGAGGUGGCGGUGGUGGUGGAGGUCUACUGGAUCCAAAUGGAGGUGGUGGUGGUGGAGGUGAAGUUUUACCAAAUGGAGGUGGUGGUGGUGGUGGCGGAGGUCAUAUGUAUUUUUAUAUGGUACAUAAUUUAUUUUAAACAAUAUUAAUAUAUUAAUAUUUAUUAAUGAGACUUCUUAUUAUAUAAUUUUGUAAUCAUUUAUAUCUUGUUAUAUCUUAUUAUAUAAAAAGUAAACCAAGAAUCAAAAAAAUUUCAAUGUGAGAUUUUUUAAUAAUUUUAGUCAUUUAUAGUUUUUUUUUAAAGUUUAAAAUAUAACAUAUACAAAAAAAUCUAAAUUUUUACUAUAUAGUUAAUGUGGUUGUUUAAAUUAUUUUAAUAGGUUAAAAUUUAAAAAAAUGAUAGAGAAUAGACUAAUUUUUAUCAAAUCUUUAUUAUUCAAAAUCAUUAAUUUUCAUAUAUACUUUAGCCACAUUUGUUAAUUCUGUUAUUUUUAUUUAAGGAAACAAUGAAGAACAUUAAUAAUUAAGUUAUAAUUAGUUUAAUAAAAAGUUUAUUAUAUAUUUUCAUGGACCAACAUAUUUUUCUAAAGAUUCUAAGAAUAAUUGUGGUGAUGACAAGUGGCUACAAAAAAAUGUUAUAAUGCUUCUCUUUUAAUAUAUAAGAGGAUGUUGUUAACAAAAUAUAAUUCAACUAAAUCAUAAAAUAAUAUAUAUAAAAUAAAACACAAAAAAUCAUAGUUUAUAUACAUGUUUUUAAGUCGGAUACAAAUUGUUCUUAUCGGGUCGGAUCUAUUCGGGUCGGGUUUUUUCGGAUCCGGAUCUAUUCGGAUCGGUUCCUUUCGGUUCCGGUUCUUUCCGGAUCAGUUCCGGUUCGGUUUUCGGAUCCAGUUUAAAAUGCCCAAGCCUAGGUUCAAACAUGACACAUCUAAAAGUUGCUAGUACGGAGACAGACAUUUUAUGGUCAGAUAAUCAUCUCGAGUCAGACAGAACCAUGUCGUUCUUACGAAUACUUGUGAGAAAAGAUUCUGAUAAUUAGUUUUUCUCAUUCGUCUGGAUCCUACUAACCUAGAAAGAACAAUGAUGAUAUUGUGGUACGAUACAAAGUUACACACUAAGCAAAAGAUAAAAUGCUCUACAUCUCUAUCUCUCUAACCUGGAACCUAUACAACACUUCAACCUAUCAAAAGUCCUGGCAGGAAAGAAUCCUAAUUUACAAGUUAGAAUUUAAUCAAUGUGGAGUCAGUCAUGUAACGUGGGAGUGGUGUAAAGACCUGCCUUCUUAUAUAUCCUUGAAUGGUUCCCUCGAUAGCCCGCCCCAGGACCCGAGCCAGUUUUAACCGCCCUGUGCCACUCAGGCGGAAAGGUUACUUGAACAGCACCACCUCCACUGGCAUAAACAACCCACCACCUUUGCUUCUUCACUUGAAGGCGGAUUUUUGCAAAAAUAAGAUUUUAAAGUUCUUUUUUGUUGGGUCAGCUAUCAUCAACUGGUUUCUUUGUGAGACUGACUCCUUUCGCCUUCUCCAUUUCUGCUUCCUUGGCUGCUUUCUUCUUCUCCAGUUCCUCUUGCUUGAUGUUCUCUUCAUGUGCUUUCUUGAAUAGCCUUAUAAAAUUCAAGAGGGUCGCAGUAACUGCAGCAAUCCAUCACCCAGGUGUUGUUAUUAACUAGCUAAUAUAAUAACAAUGAACAACGUUCUAAUGUAUCAACAUUAUGCAAACCUUGUUCAAAUGGACAACGUUUGGGAUCUUCUCCAAAAUAAUAUGCAAGUGCAUCAGCAUUAUUGCCCUGUCCAUUAAAAAGACAAAUAAAGAUUACUUCAGGAUCAAAGGUAUUGUCACAUGUAAGACCUUUUGGGAUCUAGUAGAGGUUGAAAAAUUACCACGACCGAGUAAAGACUCGAUACAGUUGCCACUUCAGUAGUAGCAACGGAAAUGAAGUCCUUCAAUGUCUGUUAUCAAAAACAUAAAACUACAUUUUAGCAUCCGGAAGUAGUUGUCUUUAAGAACAUCUAAAAUUCAUGAAAUAUGAAGAAAAACAUACUUUACGGAAAACUUCAGAAACAGGACCAUCACUCUCGGAUGCAGUGAGCUCCUGGUUCAGUUUCUCCAACCCUUUGAUAAUAGCUUGCAUUUCUUCAGCCAGUGACUUCAAUUGUAUCUAAAAUCAACAAAAAAAAAAUCAAAUGAUUGAGCCAGUUACAACCAAUGGAUAGAGGAAAGAUAAAGCACAAAGCCACAAAGGCAAACCUUUGAAGCUGAUUCAAGACUUCCAAGAUCCUUAUGGAAGUCCAGUAGAUCUGAUCCCUUGGAAGCAAGGACCUGUAGAAAGAGAUGUUCAGACCAUUUUCUAAAAACAACUCUCAACAGAAGAACCUUAAAGACUGCUUUUUGAGAUUGUGAUUUUUACCUUGCAAAGAUAGUGCAUGAGAGUCAUCUUGCUGUUAGCAGCACGUGUAUCGCUUAGUUUUAACAAACUGUCCAACUUGAAUCCCACUGCAGCGCCUGCACAGAAAGCAGAACAAUGGUUUUUAUCAACCACAAAGGAUAUGCGGGUCAGACAAAACAGGUAACAAAGGCACCAUUCUUGGAUCAAGCCCACAUUCAACAGGAAAUGUUCUGAGCAAAAAGAUGUAAAACAAUAACAAAAGAAUACUUACCCCUCGCAGUUCCUUGGUUCAAUGUGUUCCCCAGAUAAAGAAUCUUUUUCAUAAUCUCUUUUAGCUUUUGUGAAGUACGAACCUGAUGAACAAGCAAUGAGGAGAAAAAAAGUCUAAGAAAGAGAAAUAUAAUAUGGACUAAAGAAAAUAUUAGAGUUAAGUUCUUGCAAGCAUCUAACCUCAUCACACGCAGAAUUUACCGCAUUUAAACUUUUUUUGAAUUCUUUUAUCUGCACAAAGAUCAUCAUUAACAAUAAGACCACUAAUUCAAAACUACAUAGACACUAAUUCAAUAACAGUAACGCCACCGGACCUGAGUGCCGAAUUGAAUCUUGAAGGAAAACACUCUCAUCUUCGAUUCUACUCGUGGCACCUUCAUUAGCUCUAGGAAGUACUGCGGUAACCAAAUGAUAAGAGCAGACCAAAACGUAUUAGCUAAGGAGAUUGUUCAAAGUUUAAAACUAUCUCAAGAUUCAAACAGACCUGCUCACACUUUCCCAAGGUCGCCUUGUCACCAGUGUAGUUCUACAGCAAAACAGUCAAUAACAACCAAGAUUGAGGAACCAAGAAGAAUGAUAUAUUUCACACAAGACAUCCGAAAUAAAGACAAAAGCCAAUACCUUCAGAAGUUCCAUCUCUUCCUUGGUUGGACAAAACUUUAUAAGAUUCUCUAUUUGAUCAAUAUCUAGUACAGUAUCAUCCAUUGCUAGAACUGCAGCCUGGUUGAUGAAAAGAAAAUUGUGAACAAUGAUCAUACUUGUACUCAACUAAAGCAUGUUUGGAGCUUACCAUCAUAUCAGGAAGCGGCAUCUUUACUUUCGUAAGCAUAAUUUCCGUAUUAUUGGCUCUCCUAAGAUCAAUCUGAAAAUCAGAAGAAAUAUAAUUAUCUUUUACAGCAGGUGAUACUCAGAUUCCAGGCACAUGAACAAAGUCUCCACUAGAAAAAGCGUACGUAAUCUGGCAAUAACCAAGUCUUUAGAAUAAUUUAACAUUACCAGUUGAACUUUUUCAGGUUUUGCCCCAACAGACUUUCUUCGACCUCCAGCUUUAUCAACCGGCUUUGGCACUAUAGCAGAGAAAAGGGUCUCUAUUUCUGAUACAUCAAACUCAGGUGCACUAGCAGAAACGAAGAAAAAUGAUGAUCAAUAACAAGAGGGGAAUAUAUAUUUAAAAAGGAAUGUGAAAGUUAGUGCAAUACGUUUGUCCUUGUCUCUGUAACUCGUCCCAUAAGCUUCCCUGCAAGGCCCUUGUUACUUUAACCCAGUGUAAAGGCUUCAGAGAAGACUUUUUUGGAGCUGAAGACCCCAAACCUGGACGUGCAAGACCACGCCCUCUUCCUGCACCCUUCAGAUCUGGAGGUGCACCAGGAGGUCUAGGUCCAGGAGGUGGAGGAGGUCCACCAGGAGGUCUUGGUCCAGGAGGUGGAGGUGGACCAGGAGCACGACCACCAGGAGGCGGUGGAGGGGGAGGUCCAGGAGCUCUACCACCAGGAGGCGGAGGAGGAGGAGGGGCUCCUCCACGCAUUGGAAGUGGCUGUGGAGGAGGAGGAACUGAACCUACGUGACCAAAAGGAGGAGCAGUUGGAGAUCCAUAACUUGGUGGCGGAGGUGGAGGGAGAGGGACUGAAUGUGCUUUACUAAAAGGAGGAGGAGGAGGUGGUGGUGGUGGAGGUGGAGGAGCAGCAGAAAAACCGUUAAUAAGAGACGUCUUGGGUGAUGGCGAAGGUGCAAUACUCAUAUAAGGCAACGGGGGAGGAGUAGGAAUGUGACCUCCUGGUGGCGGAGGUCCAUUAGAUCCAAAUGGAGGUGGCGGUGGUGGUGGAGGUCUACUGGAUCCAAAUGGAGGUGGUGGUGGUGGAGGAGGAGUUUUACCAAAUGGAGGUGGUGGUGGUGGUGGCGGAGGUGAGGAGGAGGUGGUGGUGGUGGAGGUGGAGGAGCAGCAGAAAAACCGUUAAUAAGAGACGUCUUGGGUGAUGGCGAAGGUGCAAUACUCAUAUAAGGCAACGGGGGAGGAGUAGGAAUGUGACCUCCACUGGAUUUGGUUGUAUUUGAUGAACUAAAAGGAGGAGGUGGUGGUGGUGGCGGUGGAGGUGGUGGAGAAUUGUAAGACGUAGAGCCUUCCUCAUGAGUUUCAAGAAUUGAAGCAUACCCAGGCUUCCACGGUGGUGGAGGCGGUGGUGGAGGAGGU